GGGGGGGGGGGGGGGGGGGGGGGGGGGGGGGGGGGCGAGCGGGGGGGGGGUGGUGGGGUGGGGGGCGCGAGUGGCGCACGGGUGGGUGCGCCGUGAGUGGCCUGCGCAGGGCUCGGGGAUGACUUCAGGCAACUGGUGCUACGCCCGGCUCGUGGCGCGUGCUGCAGGGUGGCGUGUGGAAAGUUUCGGCGGUUGGGGCUGGACGCGCGGCUGAUCCGCUUGUUGGUGGGGUCGUGGCUUGCCAAGGCUUUGCCGGGUAGCCGGCCUGAGAGGGUGACCGGCCACAUUGGGACUGAGAUACGGCCCAGACUCCUACGGGAGGCAGCAGUGGGGAAUAUUGCACAAUGGGCGGAAGCCUGAUGCAGCAACGCCGCGUGCGGGAUGACGGCCUUCGGGUUGUAAACCGCUUUCGCCUGUGACGAAGCGUGAGUGACGGUAAUGGGUAAAGAAGCACCGGCUAACUACGUG
rnacentral:rRNA from 1 species